AUCUGAUGUUUUACAUGAAUGUAUUUAAAUUAUGAAAUCAACUGCAAAAGCUAGCCACAAGAUUUUAAGAUUAGCCCAAUAACCAAGAUGUUACUGCUGAAUGAUAGACAAGAACUCCACAGUUUUUACAGUUUGAAGGUUCUAUCUGUAGGUUCCAACCAAAAAGAGUCCAGGACCAGAUGGAUUCACAGCUGAAUUCUACCAGAGGUACAAGGAAGAAC
rnacentral:lncRNA from 1 species